AAAUAUUUGAGUUUGAUGAUGGCUCUGAUUGAACGCUAUCCAAGUGCUUGACACAUGCUAAUCGUACGACAUCAUGUUAAAAAAUGAUGUAGUGGUGUACAGGUGAGUAAAUAAUAUUUUGGCUACCUUAAAGAAAGGUUAAAUACCUUAUAUAAGAAAGAAAUUAAUAUUUCGCUUUAAGAUGUUAAUAAAUAUUCUCGGUGAAUAUAUAGUAGUAGAAAAGGUAAUAUCUUAACUAGCUAUAAACCGUAGUCGUGACUGAGAGGUCGAUCGAUCACAUUGGGUCUGAAAAAACCCCAAUGCGUAUUAGUACAGCAGUGAGGAAUAUUGGUCAAUGGCCUAACGGCUGAACCAGCAACUUGGGGGAAUAAAUAUAAUGAUAUAAAUAAUAUCAUUAUUUUUCUAAAUAGGAUAAUGAUUAUGACAAUUUUCUAUUUAUAAGUCUUGACCAAAUUACGUGCCAGCAGUCGCGGUAAUACGUAGAAGACAAGUGUUAGUCAUCUUGAUUGGGUUUAAAGGGUACCUAGACGGUAUAAUAAAUCUGAUAAAGAUAUUUAUUUACUAGAGUUUUAUAGGAGAAAGGGAGAACUUUUGGAGGAAAGAUAUAAUUUUUUAAUACCAAUAGGACUGAUAACGGCGAAGGCGACUUUCUAUGUAAAAACUGACGUUGAGGGACGAAGGCUUGGGGAGCGAAAAGGAUUAGAUACCCUAAUAGUCCAAGCAGAAAAUUAUGAAUGCCAUAAGUUAGAUUCAACAUUUAACUUGUAUUAUAAGUUUAAAUGUACAAAUAUAUUUAACAUAUAAAUGAAAGUGUAAGCAUUCCACCUUAAGAGUAAGAUGGCAACAUUGAAACUGAAAUCAUUAGACCGUUUCUGAAACCAGUAGUGAAGUAUGUGUGCGACAAGAAACGUAUAUUAGUAAUGCGGUGAAAUUCCGCUAGGUCGUCUCUACCUAACACUAUCUAC
rnacentral:ncRNA from 1 species